CAAAAACCAUCACCUCUAGCAUUACCAGUAUUAGAGGCACUGCCUGCCCAGUGACAUGCGUUUAACGGCCGCGGUAUCCUGACCGUGCAAAGGUAGCAUAAUCAUUUGUUCCUUAAAUAGGGACUUGUAUGAAUGGCUUCACGAGGGUUAAACUGUCUCUUACUUUUAAUCAGUGAACUUGACCUUCCCGUGAAGAGGCGGGAAUAACACAAUAAGACGAGAAGACCCUAUGGAGCUUAAAUCUACUUAGCUUAAGCAUUAUUAUUCUUUCCCCACAGGGAUUAAUAAAUUUGCCUCCUUAAGCUUAAGAUUUUGGUUGGGGUGACCUCGGAGUAUAAGAUAACCUCCGAAUGAUUUUAGCCUUGACUCGACUAGUCUAAGCAUCUAUUCAUUAAUUGACCCAAACUUAUUGAUCAACGGAACAAGUUACCCUAGGGAUAACAGCGCAAUCCUACCCAAGAGUCCAUAUCGACAGUAGGGUUUACGACCUCGAUGUUGGAUCAGGACAUCCAAGUGGUGUAACCGCUACUAAUGGUUCGUUUGUUCAACGAUUAAAGUC
rnacentral:rRNA from 1 species